UGUAGGCUGCAACUCGCCUACAUGAAGUUGGAAUCGCUAGUAAUCGCGAAUCAGAAUGUCGCGGUGAAUACGUUCCCGGGUCUUGUACACACCGCCCGUCACACCACGAGAGUUUACAACACCCGAAGUCAGUGGCCUAACCGCAAGGAGGGAGCUGCCUAAGGUGGGGUAGAUGAUUGGGGUGAAGUCGUAACAAGGUACC
rnacentral:rRNA from 1 species